GCUCUUUCUCUCCGCUCUUCGCCCGACUCCAGCGGUUUAAGCUGACGCCAUUGGCCGACCGACCAACCAGGAAAGAGAAGAAGCCAAGCCCCAAGAACUCUAUUUCUUUUUCUCAAACACAAAGACCCCCCUUCCGUCUAUUCCGAAAUUUCUUCUUUCUCCCCUUUGCCGUGGAGGAGAAAACCCCGAUAGAUUCCAGAAGUUUGCUUCUUUUUCUUGGUUUCAUCGCCUCUGCCCCCAAAUUUCAUUCAUAUCGGGCUUUUGGAGGAUUCAAGGAGGAACCGUUGUUCGUUUUUUGGCCGUGAUUUGGAACUAUGAGGAAGAAGCUCGACACUCGUUUUCCCGCGAUAAUGUCAAAGUCUUCAUGUUCAACACGUGAACCUGGACCCUGAAGCCUUCUGCCUGAUAAGCUGCCAGUGCUUCCUUUCACUUGCAUUGGACGCGCUAAACACUAGUACCAAUGUCUCGAAUAAAAAAGAUUAUGCAAGCAGAUGAAGAUGUUGGGAAGAUUGCAUUGGCGGUACCUGUUUUAGUAUCUAAAGCAUUGGAAUUGUUUCUACAAGAUCUUUGUGACAGAACAUAUGCCAUAACUCUUCAGAGAGGAAUGAAGACAAUGAGUUCUUUGCAUUUGAAGCAGUGUGUACACAGUUUUAAUGUGUUUGACUUCCUGAAGGAUAUAGUGAGCAAAGUUCCAGACAUGGGUAGUUCCGAUGCUGGUGGUGACGACAGGUCUGCCAAGAGAAGGAAAGCUGCAGAUGAUGACAAUGAUAGCGAAGAGGAGUUGAAGCGGAGAGCUCAGCAUGAGGCAGCCGGCCACAGCAGCAGUGGCAGAGGACGGGGGCGGGGACGUGGGAGAGGACGUGGUGCCCGAGGUGCUCGUGGCAUCGAUAGGGAUAGUGCUCAUUAUGAUAAAUAUGAAGAUGACCCUGGCACCUCGCCUCAACACAGUGACAGACCACCUCAUAUGAAAUCCGAAACAAUGGAUGACAGCUUGAGUGCAAGGGAAUCGAAGGAAACCACAGUUAGCAGUAGUAAUACAGGUGCCGUUGUCCGGAACUUUGACUUGAAUUUGGACUUGGAUGAGAAUGGAGAUAUGUCUGCGGCCACAGCCACAGCCUCAGCCUCGGCUACCAUUACAACCACAGCAACAUCCCCUGAGAUAAAUCAUGAAAUGAAGCAUGAGUACUCAGGUUGGCCGCUUGCUGAUAUGGAUCAGAUGGCCAUCGAUCCCAUUCAGUUUGCAUUAUCAAACCGAAGAUUAGAUGAAGAGGAAGAGGAUUAUGAUAAUGAAGAAGGUUGAUCAGCAUAUAGAUCUUAUCUUCCAAACUAAUUGAUAGGUAGACCCGACUCUAAUAUAGAGGAUGGCAGCCGUCCCUCCCUCCUCUUUAGACAAUCAGAACUCCUUGAAGAGCUCAGGGAACAGAAUGGGCGAUGUAUAAACUGCAAGCACACUUUGGGGUGGAAAUGUUAGAAGUGUGUUGGAAUAUUUUAGUAACUAAUGUUUGUCACAGGAACAAUUCAUUCUACUUAGAUGUUCUGAUCCACAUGCUUGAUUCAGGUGCUGCAGAAACCUUAUCAAUGUGUACAGAGGCAGCUAUUAAAUCAGGUGUGUGGGGGACAUACUUAUCUAAUAUGUGCAAAAUGGGUGGACUUCACCCUGCUACUUCCCCAGAGCCCUUAAUGCAUGGAUUUCCAAAAGCUGGAUCGUGAAAGGAAAGCGUUAUGCGUGUUGCAACUUCUGUCAGCUGACACAGUAUAUUCAUAUACUGUAUUUGUGCAAAACCUUUACUUUUAGUGAAAAAUGGGAACCCAACAAGAAAUUAA